ACUGAUACUCUGUAUUGAAAGAGGCCUUUUAGGUACUGAAUUUUCUCCUCUUGAACAAAAGAAUGGCCGGGUAACUCUUCAUUGAGAAGUUCAGAGCCUUUUUCAACUGAAUUUUGUCACUAAGUGCUAAAAUAGAAGUCUUUAGAGACUUAAACCAUGUUGUAAACUCAAGAGCAAGACAUGUGGGUGUGGUCAUGGCCACACCUACUUUUUGACCACUCCCACUUUCAGCCACACCUUUGCCCUACUUGCACUGAAAUCCUGCAGCCGCCUAUGGUUGGGGGGGCUUAAGCCCCUCCUGCCCCCCCUGUUCCUACCCCAGUACCCCUAUGUCCUGGGCUACUAAUUCAACCUCCUGGGCUACUUAUUCAACCUCCCUGGCUACUUAUUCAACCUCCCAGGAUAUUUAUUCAACCUCCCGGGAUACUUGUUAGUAAGUAAGUUAUUUAUGCAAAUUAACCUGAAAUCAAGGUCAAGUACAACUAGGUAGAAAUAGACUAGUUUUAGUAAUCUAAUAAUUAUUACUCAAUAAAAUUCAUACCUCAGUCAUCAUUGGCUGUGCCCAAACAUGGAUCCAUGGCCCAAGAAAUAAAAAUUGCUUGGCACACUGAUCAAACACACAACACUGAGUCUCUCAUACUGCUACACUUUUCAUGAUUAAUCUUCUAACACAUUCAACAAUGGCGGAUCACUGAUUCACCCAAACAUAGAUGAAUACUAGAAACGGACCCAAAUUAAUGAAAUUAUGGAUAGAUCUAGUCUCGCAAGCCAGACCCAUGGACUAUUGGACUUACUUGGUCAGGUAAAAAGGACUUGCUAUGCCUGGACAUUCUACUCAGCCAAUUUAGUUGGAAUCUGGAUCAGGAUUGAUGCUGAAAUCAGUUCUGGAUGAUUGAAUCAUGCAUUUUGAUUUUUGGGCAAUCACUGAAUCAGUCAGUAUUGACUACAAUCAUCAAAAAUUUGCAGGCCACAAGAACUGUAGUAGUAGAGAAUCAGACUUGAUUCAUUCAUUUUGGGCAAUAUUUCUGAUAUUAUGUGUACAUGAUUCAAGAGGUUAUUCUCGAUCUAAAUAUCCUGCUAAAUGCUAAUCCUGAAGUGAUUUCAAAUUUUCAACUGACUCUUUAAUCUAUUGUGCUUUCAUUUUGGUGGACAGCGGCCAGUGAAGCUGGGGUCUCAAGGGUCUGAUACGGUGAUACCAUGAUACAAGUAACAAGCUCAGCAAGUGCAUGGUCUGUGUAAGAUGCUAUGAAUCAUGUGACUUAUCCAAAUAAUACAAAAUCUUACUCUCGCCAAUAAAUCAUCUUGUAUGACAUGUUGUGAUGUUGCUGGACACCUGAGCAAGAAUGUUCUUCCUGCUGUUCAUGUAGGUAGGGCAAAGCAAGACUUUAACACAAUCAUGAACAAAUACCGGUAGAAGCCAAAGUCAAGACUCAUCAGCAUCAAAAACUCUGGAGCAUCUGGAACUAUGUACACAUAAUGCUGUGUAGCUAUCAGCUUGUUUAUAGUACAACUGACUUUUUUGUUUGGAGUUCAAAGAAUUGAAAACAAAGUAUUGGAUAAAAUGCUCUGUCUCUAACUUCUGUGAUUGGAAUAGCAUGGCUUGGUAGUGUUCUUUUCUUUAGGAAAGAGCUUCUCUUUAUUGCUUACAUCAUGACUGGUCAUUAUAUUUGUACUUUAUAUACCUCUCUCUAAAAACAGUUAAUAAUGCUGAUGGGUAUCUUUCAUUAUUACUUGUGUAUGUACAGAUGAGGGCAGCAAAAAAGCUAAUUCUGAAAUAAUUGGCAGUUUGUCAUUAAGAGCCUCAAACCUUCUACAUCCAUUUUCAUUUCAACAAACAAGUGUUUUUGUCACUAUUAAGGCUGAUCAAUAUUCACCAAAACAUUGUGAGAAUGGUUUGUCGUCAACUUCUUUUGUUUGAAAAGAGUACCAGUAAUAAUAGGUACAUCAAAUUAAUUCUUCUGAUACUUUGAAUAAAGCCGAACUCGAUCAGAUACCUGAAUCAAAGAGGAAUGAAAUGAGACUUUUAUCAUUGCAAGUGAAAUUGAUGAUGACUACCUUACAGUGGCUGAUUCUUAAAGUUGUGUAUUAUUAUUCAUUAUUUUAAAACUACUAAUUACAUUAGUUGUUCUGUAAUCAUGUUUUUAAAUUCGUGUUUGAAAAUUGAUAUAACAGAUUGUGAUGUCAUAGAUUUUAAAUCUA